CUACCUUCCUUCCUUCCUUCCUUCCUUCCUUCCUUCCUUCCUUCCUUCCUUCCUUCCUUCCUUCCUUCCUUCCUUCCUUCCUGCCUUCCUUCCUGCCUUCCUUCCUGCCUUCCUGCCUGCCUGCCUUCCUGCCUGCCUGCCUUCCUGCCUGCCUUCCUUCCUGCCUGCCUUCCUGCCUUCCUUCCUGCCUUCCUGCCUGCCUUCCUUCCUGCCUUCCUUCCUGCCUUCCUGCCUUCCUGCCUUCCUGCCUUCCUUCCUGCCUGCCUCCCUCCCUGCCUCCCUGCCUCCCUGCCUGCCUCCCUCAUAAACACGGAAACACCAGGAAGCUGUUUGAGUGGAUGAGGCUGGCACGUACACUUCAGUCUGGUGACCAUCUUGAUUGGCAGCACCAUGGGAAACUCAACACUUGGAUAAAGAGCAGUGCAUAUGGUGAAUAUGGGAGACAAAUUUUGAAGCUGUAAUUCAGGUUGUCCAGCCUGUCUGUCCAUCCAGCCUGGAUCCUGGGAAGCCUGCUGGUGAAGACAUGACUCUCCAAGAGGGACUGCUGAAGUCACUUGAAGGAUGUCACACAAUGAGAUAUUCCAUGGGAGCCUGCUGCCUACGGCUGACACUUUGUUGAUAAGCCUUGUUUUUAAUUUCUCUGCUUUUCACCCCAAGGAAAUGUAAGAAUAUUUUCACACAUGUAGCGUUUCCAAGAAAAUGUUAAGGCAGCAUCAAGUAUUUGGGAGACAAAUUAAGGAAGAUUUAUACAAGACAAGCCAGUAAGAAUGAUGAGAAAAACAGUGCUGAGAGAAGAAAUAUUUCUGAGAAUUCUAGAUAUUCCCACUGUUGCUAUCAGCAAGUGGCCUAUAUUGUCACACUUGUGUGUUAAAUAAAUGCAGUGUGUUAAACA
rnacentral:lncRNA from 1 species